GGAGACGUGGCUGAGUGGUUGAAGGCACCGCACUCGAAAUGCGGCAUACCUGAAAGGGUAUCAGGGGUUCAAAUCCUCUCGUCUCCG
rnacentral:tRNA from 1 species